rnacentral:rRNA from 6 species
CCCGUUCCCAUUCCGAACACGGCAGUUAAGCUCUUCAGCGCCGAUGGUAGUUGGGGGUUUCCCCCUGUGAGAGUAGGACGCCGCCAAGC